UACAGAGGGGGCAAGCGUUGUUCGGAAUUACUGGGCGUAAAGGGCGCGUAGGCGGCCUUCUAAGUCGAACGUGAAAUCCCCGGGCUCAACCCGGGAACUGCGUCCGAUACUGGGAGGCUUGAAUCCGGGAGAGGGAUGUGGAAUUCCAGGUGUAGCGGUGAAAUGCGUAGAUACCGGGAGGAACACCUGUGGCGAAAGCGGCUCACUGGACCACAACUGACGCUGAGGCGCGAAAGCUAGGGGAGCAAACAGG
rnacentral:rRNA from 1 species